AAUCCCAACGGCAAUGGAGCUCGCCAAAACCGCCUGCUAGUGAUUCUUUCCUAACGUUAACUAAAACACUAAAAGGCUGAUGGCUCCUACUUUUCU
rnacentral:ncRNA from 2 species